GACGAACCGUCCAAACGUUAUUCGGAAUUAUUGGGCUUAAAGGGUGCGUAGGCUGUGCAGUAAGUUGGGUGUGAAAUCCCUCGGCUCAACCGAGGAACUGCGCCGAAUACUGCUGUGCUAGAGGGAGAUAGGGGUAAGCGGAACUGAUGGUGGAGCGGUGAAAUGCGUUGAUAUCAUCAGGAACACCGGUGGCGAAGGCGACACACUGGGUCUCAACUGACGCUGAGGCACGAAAGCCAGGGGAGCAAACGGG
rnacentral:rRNA from 1 species